rnacentral:lncRNA from 1 species
GCGACCCCAACGGCAGCGGACAGGCAGCAAACGCGCAUUGCAUCUUUCCUACUGUGUGGGAGGGUUGGGGAGGAUUCCCAGGGUGCGGGCUGCAAGCACUUCCCAAAAUCUCAAGAUGAGGAUGGCUGAUGCUGCCUUGCAGGGCUUCACACGAUUACUUCAGGUGGUUUCUGCCACUUGCAACUUAAAGAAUGAUGACUACUGUUUGCCCUGGUUUUCUGGGUGCCACAGUGAUAAACCAUCUGCUCUCAGGGACGUGUUCAAUAUCCGUGGCAUUUCUCGACCUUUGCUCGGUUCUAAGUUGUCAGAGGUGCUAUUUGGCUUCCUCACGGAUGUGACUACAAACACCUUCCAAGCUCACUUAUCGCCCUCUGCAACAUGUACUAUCACGUUUUUUAAGGGACGUUAUUGAAACCUUUUGGCCUUUGAAGUCUUUUACUGAGAUAAUUUUUUUCUGUUUCUCAUUGCCAACUUAAAUAAGUAACUAUAUUUUUACUCUCUAUACAAUACAUAUAUAUUUUGCUAUAAAUGUAUAUUUCUGCCUAAUUUAAGCUUUUAAAAACUCAAAUCAAGUUGCUUAUUAGUGUGUACAAUGUGUUCAGGCUGUGUGCUAGAAGGGAAAUCAAU